rnacentral:rRNA from 1 species
ACUCCUACGGGAGGCAGCAGUGAGGAAUAUUGAUCAAUGGGCGCAAGCCUGAACCAGCCAUGCCGCGUGAAGGAAGAAGGUUCUAUGGAUUGUAAACUUCUUUUAUUUAGGAAUAAACCCCUGGUCGAGCAUCAGGGCUGAAGGUACUAAAUGAAUAAGCACCGGCUAACUCCGUGCCAGCAGCCGCGGUAAUAC